AGUGAACGCUGGCGGUAGGCCUAACACAUGCAAGUCGAACGGCAGCACAGGAGAGCUUGCUCUCUGGGUGGCGAGUGGCAGACGGGUGAGGAAUACAUCGGAAUCUACUCUGUCGUGGGGGAUAACGUAGGGAAACUUACGCUCAUACCGCAUACGACCUACGGGUGAAAGCAGGGGACCUUCGGGCCUUGCGCGAUUGAAUGAGCCGAUGUCGGAUUAGCUAGUUGGCGGGGCAAAGGCCCACCAAGGCGACGAUCCGUAGCUGGUCUGAGAGGAUGAUCAGCCACACUGGAACGGAGGCACGGUCCAGACUGCUAGGGGGGGCAAGAGUGGGGAAUAUUGGACAAGGGGCGCAAGCCGGAUCGCGCCAUACCGCGUGGAUAAAGAAGGCCUUCGGGUUGUAAAGCCCUUUUGUUGGGAAAGAAAUCCAGCUGGCUAAUACCCGGUUGGGAUGACGGUACCCAAAGAAUAAGCACCGGCUAACUUCGUGCCAGCAGCCGCAGUAA
rnacentral:rRNA from 1 species